rnacentral:tRNA from 1 species
GGGGUUGUGGCUCAGAGGUAGAGCACUCACCUAGCAUGUGCGAGGCCCUGGGUUCAAUCCUCAGCACCACA